UUGGUUAAGAUACGGCUGUUCCAAAUUUACAUACACUCGCAAUUAGUGACUCAUUGAAGCCCUUUCAACUACAGCCUUUCAAAAAUAAGCACCAUGAAACCGAUGAAACUUGCAGAUCAUAUAUAAACAAUAAAUAAGUAGAGUAACUUAUGAAGCUCUAUGAUUAAUUUCAUUUGAGAUGCUAAUUAGGAGGUUAUUUUUAAGAUUAUUUUUACAAAAAUAAGGGAUCAACUUUAUUUUGAGCGCAAUUUGUUUACCUCUGAUACUAGAAACUUUUUUAAAAAAUAUAGCUCUUUUUAGCCACAUAACAGUGAUGUUCGCAUCAGGUUCAAAGCAUAUACUACCCACAUUCGACAGAGUAUAUUCUUUUUAGUACAUGAGUAGUACAAGCAUAGCAUGUACCACAAAAAACAUUCUAAAUUUCAUAUUCUUUGCAUAUACUUUAAAGAAUAUUCUCGUACCGAAUAUACUGAGCACAUUCAUGUACGUAGUAUCUCAGAAUAUUCGUAAAAGUACUUUCUUGGAAUAUACCUUCAUGGAAUAUACUUUAAAAGUAUGUGCUUAACACAUACUUGUACGUGUGUACUUUUAAAAUAUCUUAAAAAAAUAUGUACCUACAUAUGUAUAAAUAGGAAAGGUAAUGUUAGUCUUAUAGAUUAUCAACUUUUUAUUUUUAUAAUAAUUAAUAAAAUUUAUAUACGUACAUAGGUAAUAUCCCAGAUGAAUUCAUUUCUCAAAAUUGGUUUAAUUGUAGGUAUUGUGAAAAAGUUUAAAAAUUAAUUUGUAUCGAUGCAUUUUUGCAUCGUUGGAAUUUAAAAUUUGGAAAGAAUACACCAUCACCAGAUCGUAAAAGAUCGGAAUAUUGCAAACGGAAAUGACCCUUCUCAUUCUUCCUGAAUAGGAAUUUAUAAAGGUUUUAUGAAAAUGAAAACACAAACAAACACUAAACAGGCACAGGACAUAGUGCAUAGGCAUUAUUUUUAUUUGUAUCCAAUCUAUGCUUAAUGCUGUGUUAGAAGGAAGACGAACGACACAGUAUACUAGAAACUAGGACUAGGAACAUACAUAAUACCACUAUUUUGUUUGUGGUGCUUGAAAAUAUUAAAUUCAUUUUGGUAACUCAAUAUUACUUAAAUAGUAGGUGCCGUGUCUGUAUUCAGCCAUUGGCCGUCAUCAUGUUUACACUGGACCGUGAUAGUGUGAUAGGAUCAGAACCAACUUCAAAUUGAAAGAACUCUACAAUGACAGCGAUAUUGUCCAAGAAAUUAAAUCACAGCGACUAAGAUGUGCAGGCCACGUGCACAGACUUCAUAACGAGAUACUUGUAAGACUGGUAUGCUGCCGUGCUAAGCCCAAAGGCGGGAACUGAUUUUUUAUCGUAAAUGGGAUUUUUGUAUUUUUAUGUAAAAUAGGGUAUUUAGUAUAUAUUUAUAAAGUUUUUGGAGUUGUAGAAGCAUUAUAUUUUAAAUAAAAUUGCAAUUUUGUUAGCGGUA